rnacentral:rRNA from 1 species
UAGGGAAUAUUGGUCAAUGGAGGAGACUCUGAACCAGCCAUGCCGCGUGCAGGAAGACGGCCUUCUGGGUUGUAAACUGCUUUUGACAGGGAAGAAAACGGCCAUGCGUGGCUAACUGACGGUACCUGUAGAAUAAGCACCGGCUAACUCCGUGCCAGCAGCCGCGGUAAUACGGAGGGUGCAAGCGUUGUCCGGAUUUAUUGGGUUUAAUGGGUGCGUAGGCCGUAGAUUAAGACAGAGGUGAAAUCCAGCAGCUCAACUGUUGAACUGCCUUUGAUACUGGUUUACUUGAGUACACAUGAGGUAGGCGGAAUUUAUGGUGUAGCGGUGAAAUGCAUAGCUACCAUAAGGAACACCGAUAGCGAAGGCAGCUUACUAAAGUGUAACUGACGUUGAGGCACGAAAGCAUGGGGAUCGAACAGGAUUAGAUACCCCCGUAGUCC